UCGAGAAUCUUCGGCAAUGGACGAAAGUCUGACCGAGCGACGCCGCGUGCGGGAUGAAGGCCUUCGGGUUGUAAACCGCUGUCGAGGGGGAUUAUGAACCCUGGAGGAAGGAGAGGCUAAGCUCGUGCCAGCAGCCGCGGUAAGACGAGCUCUCCAAACGUUAUUCGGUAUCACUGGGCUUAAAGAGUUCGUAGGCGGCUUGUAGGUGGGGUGUGAAAGCCCUCGGCUCAACCGAGGAAUUGCGCCCCAAACCGCAGGGCUUGAGGGAUAUAGGGGUAAGCGGAACAGAUGGUGGAGCGGUGAAAUGCAUUGAUAUCAUCUGGAACACCGGUGGCGAAAGCGGCUUACUGGAUAUUUCUGACGCUGAGGAACGAAAGCUAGGGUAGCGAACGGGAUUAGAUACCCCGGUAGU
rnacentral:rRNA from 1 species